rnacentral:rRNA from 1 species
GACGAACGCUGGCGGCGUGCUUAACACAUGCAAGUCGUACGGUAAGGCCCUUUCGGGGGUACACGAGUGGCGAACGGGUGAGUAACACGUGAGUAACCUGCCCACAACUUUGGGAUAACGCUAGGAAACUGGUGCUAAUACUGGAUAUGUGCUCCUGCUGCAUGGUGGGGGUUGGAAAGCUCCGGCGGUUGUGGAAGGACUCGCGGCCUAUCAGCUUGUUGGUGGGGUAGUGGCCUACCAAGGCGGCGACGGGUAGCCGGCCUGAGAGGGUGACCGGCCACAUUGGGACUGAGAUACGGCCCAGACUCCUACGGGAGGCAGCAGUGGGGAAUAUUGCACAAUGGGCGCAAGCCUGAUGCAGCAACGCCGCGUGCGGGAUGACGGCCUUCGGGUUGUAAACCGCUUUCAGCAGGGACGAAGCUUUUUGUGACGGUACCUGCAGAAGAAGCACCGGCUAACUACGUG